rnacentral:rRNA from 1 species
AUUGAACGCUGGCGGCAGGCCUAACACAUGCAAGUCGAGCGGAGCGGCGGACGGGUGAGUAAUGCCUAGGAAUCUGCCUGGUAGUGGGGGAUAACGUCCGGAAACGGGCGCUAAUACCGCAUACUAUCAGAUGAGCCUAGGUUGGAUUAGCUAGUGGGUGGGGUAAAGGCAUACCAAGGCGACGAGCAUUAACUGGUCUGAGGGGAUGAUGAGUCACACGGGAACUGGGACACGGUCCAUACUCCGACGGGAGGCAGCAGUGGGGAAUUUUGGACAAUGGGCGAAAGCCUGAUCCAGCCAUGCCGCGUGUGUGAAGAAGGUCUUCGGAUUGUAAAGCACUUUAAGUUGGGAGGCGUUACCAACAGAAUAAGCACCGGCUAACUUCGUGCCAGCAGCCGCGGUAAUUC